rnacentral:misc_RNA from 1 species
GAUGAAGAACGUAGCAAAAUGCGAUAAGUAAUGUGAAUUGCAGAAUUCAGUGAAUCAUCGAAUCUUUGAACGCACAUUGCGCCCGCCAGUAUUCUGGCGGGCAUGCCUGUUCGAGCGUCAUUUCAACCCUCAAGCACAGCUUGGUGUUGGGACUCGCGUUAAUUCGCGUUCCCCAAAUUGAUUGGCGGUCACGUCGAGCUUCCAUAGCGUAGUAGUAAAACCCUCGUUACUGGUAAUCGUCGCGGCCACGCCGUUAAACCCCAAAUUCUGAAUGUUGACCUCGGAUCAGGUAGGAAUACCCGCUGAACUUAAGCAUAUCAAUAAGCGGAGGA